CCUGGUGCCAUUUUUUCCCUUUCAUCUUCUCUGUUAGUCAUUUCUCAUGAUGGUUUUUGCAUCUUAGCAUUAAAAACCAUCUUUUCAUCUUCUAUUUGGCCAUUGGAAACUGUAAGAUGGAGGCGGAUGAAGAUCAUCACGAUUUUUUCAUCAUGGGGGCUACUUCGGCUAUUGCUAGGGUUAUGAUCAUGGAUCUUUCAAGAGUCAUCCCUAGAGGGUACUGGUUUUACCUAUAUAAGGCAAGAUCCAGAUACUUUCCAAAUUCUUCUAUCUUGGAAGUUGUCCCUGGUCAUAACCCUUUUUAUGCUUGGAGGAGCAUCCUUUGGGAAAGAGAUUUGAUGGCUUCGGGUCUAAUUUGGAAGAUUGGGGAUGGAGAGAAUAUUUUAACCAUUGGUGAUCAUUGGCUCCCCAAUAACAAAUAUCUUUGCUAUAGAGAUGGGCCUAGAAGGUAUCGUAGGAGUUAAUAACAGCGGAGUUGAGAUAAGUAAGCCUGUAAGCUUUCGGUGACAAGUUGAGUCUGGGCAGCAUGGGGUGUAUCUCGUGUGAUCAUGUAACUGCGUGUGGUCUUGGCCAUCUUCCGCUGAAAGUUUUUUUUUUUUAAUUUAUUAAACUUAUCGAGGAUGUUGUCGUUUAAAUCUUCUAUUACUUUUCCCUAAGUGGUAAUACUUUAUUUUCAACUGGGUACCCAUGUUUUGAAAAUUGUUAUUUUUUUUAUAAAGGCAACAUUAGUAUCUUAACGCCAGUUUAUUUAUGGCAUCUUAUUUUACGUAAGUAAGGGCGUUACAUAAAGCCCCUCCAAAAAUCAAGCACUUUAUGUGGAGAGUUGUGUCUCAUACUAUUCCUGUUGCUUCCACUCUUUUU